CUUGGUGUGCUAGCCUUUUGCCCACGAGCAUCAGGAUCAGGACCUAGAACAGAGCUAGCCACGUCUCAGCAUUGGAACAAAGAGGUGCCCAUGGGCUGGCUGUGUGUAUUUCCCAGAAGAGGUUUCUCUUUUCAUAAACCACGGGUACCUAAUCCCUGCCUCAAGCUCUGCUUCUGAAGAACUGAAGAUGACCCUGGGCACAAGAAGACAGGGUCUCACUAUGUUUCCCAGGCAACAACUUCAAACUCCUGGGCUCAAGCAAUCCUGCUGCCUCAGCCUCCUGAGUAGCUGGGACUACAGAAACAAGUGUAUGGACAAGGAAAGAUGCCUAGAUCAUCCUGUUGACUAUAUGAAAAACCAGACCUUACAGCCACGAACAGUGCAGUGUGUCCAUAUAAAGCCACGUCUGAGAAGGGUAUGCUGAACAACCAGGAGGGAGGAUCAACUUUGACUCUCCCCACAUACUGAGGCCCUGGAGUCAAGACACCAGUGUUGGAAGUCCCCCUCUGCCUCUCAAAGAAAAUCGCUUCCCCUUAGCCCCAGUCUCCCCAUCUGUAAAGUAAUU